AACGUAGGAGGCGAGCGUUAUCCGGAGUUACUGGGCGUAAAGCGUCUGUAGGUGGUUGGAUACGUCUGAUGUGAAAGCUCCCGGCUAAACUGGGAGAGCGCGUCGGAUACGGUCUGACUCGAGUGCAGCAGAGGAGCGUAGAAUUCCGGGUGUAGUGGUGAAAUGCGUAGAGAUCCGGAGGAAUACCAGUGGCGUAAGCGGCGCUCUGGGCUGAGACUGACACUGAGAGACGAAGGCAUGGGGAGCGAACGGGAUUAGAACCCGAGUAGUCC
rnacentral:rRNA from 1 species